GGCUAACUCCCCCACCCAAAUGUCCCCCUGGACUCAGGCACGGGCACAACCCCCUCUCAGGGGUUGACCAAACCAUCGAGUCCCUGGAUUCCUUUAACGGAAUACCCUUCACAUAGGGAUGGCGAGAGCAUUCGCCCAUCCCUAUCACCUGAACCAGUGCCUAUCCGCAACCUUACAAGUUGUGACGAUUUGUUACGCGGCAGGCGAAACCCAAAUGGCACCAGCCAAUCAGCCAAGUGGAGAAAAUUCCUGCCGUGCCCCUGUCCCUGUCCCAACGACAGACAACAUAUGACGGCAUAGCAAGCUCAAGUUCAACAAGCCCUAAAGUAGGGAGAGGUGGGCAGGUAUUCUGAAUGCACGCGCCGAAAGAGGAAGCUCUGGGUUGUGUGCAUGGGCAUAAAAAGGUCCCUUGAACCGUUUAGACUGCAUCCCAUUGGCCAGAUUGUACCCAGCUUUGAGGGACCUACCAAUCGGGUGUUGUGGCUAACCAAUUGUACCCCCCCCACAACACAGGGUGUCGGUUGUCCAGGUCUCACCGCAAUACGUGCCCUCUUUAAGGGAGGACACGAUUUAUCAUAGCAUUUUAAUCAGUGCUAUUUUUCUAGAAAAAGAAGUGCCGGAACUCACCAUGAACGCCUCCCUUGUUCUCUUUUAAUGGCAAUGGCACCCACCUGAGAGGUGCCGGAACUGAGUUCUGGUGAGUUCUGACUGAAAAAACCACCACCCUGAUUUUCAUUUUCCUCUGGUAAGCUGCCUUGUGAGGUCUUGCUGUAAAAUACACAAUGCAAAUACCAUUUCUUCUGUUUCCUAAAUUCAGAGGUGAGCGUGUGUUGUCAUUUUGCAGCGUCAUCCAUGCACACAAAGGAUGUGUGUCAGAAAGCUUGGGACCUGGCAAGGUUUCUGUGGCUGCAGAAACUCCUUUUUGACAAAAACCCUAAAAGCAGGGCUAGGUGGGGAGGGACAACCCAGAAAGGACUGAGCAUGCUCAGUGGCUGUGGACUACCGUAAGAGAUUGUUGGGACAAAAAGCCUAUUUUGAGGGAGGGGGAAUGGAACGGCAGAAGGAGGGCAUGUCUGGCUGGCUGAAACCUGAAGCAGGAGCAUUCUACUUUGCAGCUUAGUGUUGGGGAUCCUACUGUAGCACCCUGCUUGUGGUUAACGCUUAGCUGGAAUGAAAUAUUCAACACAGCAAUAGAGAAAUUAAAAUAAUAAUUUAUUUGUCAGACAAAAAAAUGAUA